rnacentral:lncRNA from 1 species
UGACAAGAAAACAUAAGUAAAAUUGGGCAAAUAGUAUGAUUUGGGGAAUGAUAGCAAAAAGAAAAAAUGAUCCUGACUACAAAAAGGACUCAUUCCUUUUUGAGAAUUUAAAAUAGAAGAAGCAAGAAGAAGAAUGUCGGCAUGUAUUCAGAUCAAGAAACAAAGGGAGGGAAGAUUUUGGAGUAAAGUUCCCUAUUUAAAAGUUCAAUUGGCUGUGAGUCAUCCUGCAGUCACAAUGAGCCUUUGUACUUACCAAGUGGCUUUUGUAUAAAGUUCUCACAAAGCAAAGAGCUGCAAAGAAUGCCUGUUCUCUUUUCAGAUGGACUACAACUAAAUCAGAGAGAAGGGAGACAGAAUAGAGCUUCUUCAGUAAUGGAACCACAGACCCAUUAUUACUGGCAAUUUUCAUUAAGUCCUAAGGCUACCAUGUGGAGGAUGUGAUUAGGAAAAUCUAAAUGUUUGAAAUUAAAAGUUUUAAAAACCAUGAAGUAUGAGGACGUCAGAGCAAACUUUCCAAUUUCACAACUA